AAUACUUCUAUUUUUCUUCAACAAGUGUAUCAGAUCAAUGUCUACAGUACCAAAUACCACCUACCAUAUAUAAGAACAAGUCAGUCAGUCAUAAAACUAAAUUUUGUUCACACUUAGACUUACCGGCAUGGUCUUCUGUAGCGAAGCAUUAUCUUUGAUUGAUGAGCUUUGGGACGCUAACAUAGAAGACAACGAUAGUAAAACGUUCCUCUGUGGCCGGAGCGAAGCAGCGGGCAGACGCCACUGGCGGACGAGGGCGGAGGGCGUCGCCCACAGGAGCCGUAGGACGUAGCGCCUCGGCGUAGUGUCGGCCGAGCGGAGCAUGGAGACGGAGGCGGGGGCGGCGGCCGCCGCGGCCGGCAGCUCGGCCGCCGCGGCCGGCAGCUCCGGCACGCG